GGCAAACAUAAUGUGAUAAUGUAAUUAAAUUAGACAAACUAACAUGAUCAUUCUCAGCUCAGUAUACUAGAGGUCAGAGGUCUCUGGUUCAGAAUGAAGGAGAGAGACAGUAUACUAGAGGUCAGAGGUCUCUGGUUCAGAAUGAAGGGUGAUGGAGAGAGACAGUAUACUAGAUGUCAGAGGUCUCUGGUUCAGAAUGAAGGGUGAUGGAGAGAGACAGUAUACUAGAGGUCAGAGGUCUCUGGUUCAGAAUGAAGGGUGAAGGAGAGACAGUAUACUAGAGGUCAGAGGUCUCUGGUUCAGAAUGAAGAGUGAUGGAGAGAGACAGUAUACUAGAGGUCAGAGGUCUCUGGUUCAGAAUGAAGGGUGAAGGAGAGACAGUAUACCAGAGGUCAGAGGUCUCUGGUUCAGAAUGAAGGGUGAUGGAGAGAGACAGUAUACUAGAGGUCAGAGGUCUCUGGUUCAGAAUGAAGGGUGAUGGAGAGAGACAGUAUACUAGAGGUCAGAGGUCUCUGGUUCAGAAUGAAGGGUGAUGGAGAGAGACAGUAUACUAGAGGUCAGAAUGAAGGGUGAUGGAGAGAGACAGUAUACUAGAGGUCAGAGGUCUCUGGUUCAGAAUGAAGGGUGAUGGAGAGAGACAGUAUACUAGAGGUCAGAGGUCUCUGGUUCAGAAUGAAGGGUGAUGGAGAGAGACAGUAUACUAGAGGUCAGAGGUCUCUGGUUCAGAAUGAAGGGUGAUGGAGAGAGACAGUAUACUAUCACACCAUUGUAUGUCCUCUGUGGGUUACAGAGUAAGACUGUUGUCCUCUCACUGGGAGCUGUGAUGUAGUGUGAGACAUUCAACUGGCACAGAAGAAAACAUGUUACGUCUCUGUGUAUUGAGGAUUAACUCAGACACACCGUUCUGGAUCAGAUACUAGCUAAUGGAUGACUCUAAUGGAUGACUCUUGUGGAUGACUCUAAUGGAUGACUCUAGUGGAUGACUCUAAUGG